rnacentral:rRNA from 1 species
UACGAAGUGGGCUAGCGUUGCUCGGAAUCACUGGGCGUAAAGCGCACGUAGGCGGACUCUUAAGUCGGUGGUGAAAUCCUGGAGCUCAACUCCAGAACUGCCUUCGAUACUGAGAGUCUCGAGUCCGGGAGAGGUGAGUGGAACUGCGAGUGUAGAGGUGAAAUUCGUAGAUAUUCGCAAGAACACCAGUGGCGAAGGCGGCUCACUAGCCCGGUACUGACGCUGAGGUGCGAAAGCGUGGGGAGCAAACAGG